rnacentral:sRNA from 1 species
AGAUACUCAUCCCACUUCUUAUGACAGCAUAUGGCUUCAUAAACCCCAGGAUGAUGUAGAGCUGAUUAUCAGUGCCUAUGGUCCACGUUAUAGAUGAGUAAGCAUCACUGUCUUUUCAUCACAAACCGGACACAACGUUGAGUGAGGCACUAUCCG